UCCAGACUCCUACGGGAGGCAGCAGUGAGGAAUAUUGGUCAAUGGACGCAAGUCUGAACCAGCCAAGUAGCGUGCAGGAUGACGGCCCUCCGGGUUGUAAACUGCUUUUAGUUGGGAAUAAAAGGGGGCUCGUGAGCCCCGUAUUGUAUGUACCAUCAGAAAAAGGACCGGCUAAUUCCGUGCCAGCAGCCGCGGUAAUACGGAGGAUCCGAGCGUUAUCCGGAUUUAUUGGGUUUAAAGGGUGCGUAGGCGGUUUGAUAAGUUAGAGGUGAAAUGUCGGGGCUCAACCCCGAAACUGCCUCUAAUACUGUUGGACUAGAGAAUAGUUGCGGUAGGCGGAAUGUAUGGUGUAGCGGUGAAAUGCUUAGAGAUCAUACAGAACACCGAUUGCGAAGGCAGCUUACCAAACUAUAUCUGACGUUGAGGCACGAAAGCGUGGGUAGCAAACAGGAUUAGAUACCCCCGUA
rnacentral:rRNA from 1 species